rnacentral:rRNA from 1 species
UACGUAAAAGACUAGUGUUAUUCAUCUUUAGUAGGUUUAAAGGGUACCUAGACGGUAUAAUUAGUCUUAAACAAGAAACGGUUAUGCUAGAGUUAUAUAUGAGAAGGGGAGUAUUUAUGGAGUAGAGUUGAAAUUCUUUGAUCCCAUAACGACUGGUAGCGGCGAAAGCAACCUUUUAUCUAAUAACUGACGUGAGGGACGAAGGCUCGGGUCACGAACAGG